AAAUUGAAGAGUUUGAUCAUGGCUCAGAUUGAACGCUGGCAGCAGGCCUAACACAUGCAAGUCGAACGGUAACAGGAAGCAGCUUGCUGCUUCGCUGACGAGUGGCGGACGGGUGAGUAAUGUCUGGGAAACUGCCUGGUGGAGGGGGAUAACUACUGGAAACGGUAGCUAAUACCGCAUAAUGUCGCAAGACCAAAGAGGGGGACC
rnacentral:rRNA from 1 species